CCUACGGGUGGCAGCAGUGAGGAAUAUUGGUCAAUGGACGAGAGUCUGAACCAGCCAAGUAGCGUGAAGGAUGACUGCCCUAUGGGUUGUAAACUUCUUUUAUAUGGGAAUAAAAUGUUCCACGUGUGGGAUUUUGUAUGUACCUUAUGAAUAAGGAUCGGCUAACUCCGUGCCAGCAGCCGCGGUAAUACGGAGGAUCCGAGCGUUAUCCGGAUUUAUUGGGUUUAAAGGGAGCGUAGGUGGAUUGUUAAGUCAGUUGUGAAAGUUUGCGGCUCAACCGUAAAAUUGCAGUUGAAACUGGCAGUCUUGAGUACAGUAGAGGUGGGCGGAAUUCGUGGUGUAGCGGUGAAAUGCUUAGAUAUCACGAAGAACUCCGAUUGCGAAGGCAGUUCACUGGACUGCAACUGACACUGAGGCUCGAAAGUGUGGGUAUCAAACAGGAUUAGAUACCCGAGUAGUC
rnacentral:rRNA from 1 species